AAUCUUGUUACACCUGGGAUUUUGGUGCCUUUAAUCUGAGAAAAAGUACAUAUCCAUUCAGUAAUCCAAAAGGACUUGAAACUCUUCUUCUCUGAACUAAAGCUAGAGUAUCAUGGGAUUUAAAGAAUCAAGUACAAGUAUUUUCAAGGUACUGUGGAAACAAAGUCAGACUGGAAACCGGGUCAUAAGAUGGAUACUGCCUGGAGGCCUAGAGGGAAGUGUGACCUUCCUUUUCUUGUGGGUAUGCAAGAUGUACAGGGCAAAACCCUGAAGCCUUGCCUCCAGGAGCUCCAGUCCACUGGGAAAUCAGAGACAAAGCACACCGUGGAGACUUUCUGGAAGCAAGUUCUCCGACAGUCUUUACAAAGGAGCCUUUUGGAGUAUGCAUCUCUGAGGCAGGUGCCCGUUUUUCAAAGGAGAAGUCAACUUUCGAGCCUACUGUGUUACCUCGUCUGCUUCCUGGGACCUCGCAGGACCAUCACGGACUGCCCAGCCUUCCCUUCCUCCUGUGCCAGAGGCUGCAGUUUUAGCAGAAAAGAGCCAGUGCUGGCUCUGAAACGAUGGCCCUGA
rnacentral:lncRNA from 1 species